rnacentral:rRNA from 1 species
GAGUUUGAUCGUGGCUCAGGAUGAACGCUGGCGGCGUGCUUAACACAUGCAAGUCGAACGGAACUUGUAAGUGGAAGUCUUCGGAUGGAAACUUACUUGUUUAGUGGCGGACGGGUGAGUAACGCGUGGGUAACCUGCCUUACACAGGGGGGAUAACAGCCGGAAACGGCGUGCUAAUACCGCAUAAGCGCACAGCUUCGCAUGGAGUGGUGUGAAAAG